GACGAACGCUGGCGGCGUGCCUAAUACAUGCAAGUCGAACGCAGUGGGGACGGGUGAGUAACACGUGGGUAACCUGCAAUAAGAGGGGAUAACACUUGGAAACAGGUGCUAAACUGAUAUUGAUGGAUGGACGCGCGGUGAAUUGGCUAGUUGGUGGGGUAACGGCCCACCAAGGCCACGAUGCAUAGCCGACCUGAGAGGGUGAUCGGCCACACUGGAACUGAGACACGGCCCAGAAUCCUACGCGAGGCAGCAGUAGGGAAUCUUCGGCAAUGGACGAAAGUCUGACCUAGCAACGCCGCGUGAGUGAAGAAGGUUUUCGGAUCGUAAAGCUCUGUUGGUAGAGAAGCGUUAUCUAACGAGAAAGCCACGGCUAACUACGUGCCAGCAGCCGCGGUAAUUC
rnacentral:rRNA from 1 species